CAAGCGGUGGAGCAUGUGGUUUAAUUCGAUGCAACGCGAAGAACCUUACCUGCUCUUGACAUCCACCGAAUUUAGCAGAGAUGCUUUAGUGCCUUCGGGAACUGUGAGACAGGUGCUGCAUGGCUGUCGUCAGCUCGUGUUGUGAAAUGUUGGGUUAAGUCCCGCAACGAGCGCAACCCUUAUCCUUUGUUGCCAGCGAUACGGUCGGGAACUCAAAGGAGACUGCCGGUGAUAAACCGGAGGAAGGUGGGGAUGACGUCAAGUCAUCAUGGCCCUUACGAGUAGGGCUACACACGUGCUACAAUGGCGCAUACAAAGAGAAGCGACCUCGCGAGAGCAAGCGGACCUCAUAAAGUGCGUCUUAGUCCGGAUUGGAGUCUGCAACUCGACUCCAUGAAGUCGGAAUCGCUAGUAAUCGUGGAUCAGAAUGCCACGGUGAAUACGUUCCCGGGCCUUGUACACACC
rnacentral:rRNA from 1 species